CUUGGCCUGAAGGGAGCUCC
rnacentral:miRNA from 1 species